rnacentral:rRNA from 1 species
UACGGGGGGGGCAAGCGUUGUUCGGAAUUACUGGGCGUAAAGGGCGCGUAGGCGGCCCUCUAAGUCAGACGUGAAAUCCCACGGCUCAACCGUGGAACUGCGUCUGAUACUGGAGGGCUUGAAUCCGGGAGAGGGAUGUGGAAUUCCAGGUGUGAGCGGUGAAAUGCGUAGAUAUCUGGAGGAACACCGGUGGCGAAGGCGGCAUCCUGGACCGGUAUUGACGCUGAGGCGCGAAAGCUAGGGGAGCAAAC